UACGAAGGGGGCUAGCGUUGCUCGGAAUUACUGGGCGUAAAGGGCGCGUAGGCGGAUCGUUAAGCCAGAGGUGAAAGCCCAGGGCUCAACCCUGGAAUUGCCUUUGAUACUGGCGAUCUUGAGUACGGGAGAGGUGUGUGGAACUCCGAGUGUAGAGGUGAAAUUCGUAGAUAUUCGGAAGAACGCCAGUGGCGAAGGCGACACACUGGCCCGUUACUGACGCUGAGGCGCGAAAGCGUGGGGAGCAAACAGG
rnacentral:rRNA from 1 species